AGAGAUGCACUGGGUUUAAAGAGUGCGCAGGCGGUUUUGUAAGACAGAGGCGAAAUCCCCGGGCUCAACCUGGGAACUGCCUUUGUGACUGCAAGGCUGGAGUGCGGCAGAGGGGGAUGGAAUUCCGCGUGUAGCAGUGAAAUGCGUAGAUAUGCGGAGGAACACCGAUGGCGAAGGCAAUCCCCUGGGCCUGCACUGACGCUCAUGCACGAAAGCGUGGGGAGCAAACA
rnacentral:rRNA from 1 species